rnacentral:rRNA from 1 species
AAAUUUUAUUUUUUAAAGAAAGAUGUGUAAUUUUUUUUAAAAAAAAAAUUACAUCACAUUCCUGGGGCGCUUUAAAUUCUUAAUUGAAUUGAGGCGCACCUAUAGUGUACACAAUAAUACCCGAAAGAUGGUGAACUAUGCCUGGCCAGGACGAAGCUAGGGGAAACCCUGGUGGAGGUUCGAAGCGAUUCUGACGUGCAAAUCGAUCGCCGGAGCUGGGUAUAGGGGCGAAAGACCAAUCGAACCAUCUAGUAGCUGGUUCUCUCUGAAGUUUCCCUCAGGAUAGCUAACGCUCACUUUAUAAAGAUUCUCAUCCGGUAGAGCGAAUGAUUAGAGGUAUUGGGGUCGAAACGGCCUCAACCUAUUCUCAAACUCCCAAUAGAUGAGAACCCCGGCUUUCUUAAAAAUGAAGCCGUGGGAAA